AGAGCGGCAUUCAUGUGACGUACACGUAUGCAAACCAUGAUACAGAACAACUUUAAUGUAUAUCCACUCAUCACAAAGAAAGGUACCUAACAAUGAAUCAAUGAGGAGGGUAUUGUGUUGCAUGAGUUCUGCUGUCUGGAGAUAAACUAGACGGUGUUCGUGAAAGAAUGAGUAUAUUAGGUUCUGAUGUGUGAAAGGAAACGUUGUCGGCCAGAGCACGUGAGGAAAGAUAGGCUGAUAAUAUAACAAAACAAAUAUGAAAAUGUGAAACUGGAAGACAUAUAUAGUGAAAGGACAUUGACUGAGAUAAGUGUGAGUGUGUGUGUGUAACUUUAUGCAAUAAUCAUAUAGUUUCAUAAGUUUCUUUAGCUUGCUUUAACCAUAGAGCUAAACCCAUGCUGGAGUAAGAACAUGUUUUUAUGAAUUGCUGCCCUUAUAUAUAUAUACCAUGUGAACGUGAACGACCAGGCUAUCAGAUGUUGCUACACAUCGCUGGUCACAAUGCGCUUCGCAUUGUUUUAGCCUUCAAAUGACGCCACCCCGCUGGCUAAGCGAGCAGGCCAGCAGAAGAAAGAGUGAGAGAAAGUGGCGGCGAAAGAGUACAGCAGGGAUCGCCACCAUCCUCUGCCGGAGCCUCAUGGAGCUUUUAGAUGUUUUCGCUCUCUAAACACUCGCAACGCCCGAUCUGGAAAGCGAAACCGCGAUCCUAUGACCGCGAGUCCGCUGCCCUAACCACUGGGCCAUUGCGCCUUCACACACACACACACACACACACACACACAUAUAUAUACAUACAUGUGGUGGGGUGGUAUGAACAACAAUAGGACAGGAAUUAUGUUAUCACUUUCAUUAGCUUACAACUGUUUCUAACCUACAACUGAUGCAUCAGUUCAGCCAGUUUUAAGUUAACUAUCCAUGAUAGAAAAAAGUGUUCCAUUUCUAACCUAUCCGACAUAGCUAAAACAGAUGACUAAAACCAUUCUCUAAUAUGCCUUCACAUUCUUCACACAAUUAAAUCUCAUAACCCCAAGCUCACCAGUAGGUUACACACAGUUGUGCUGCAAUAAUGUUAGUGGAGAACCCUACAUGGAGAUACUCAACCACUUCAAUCAACAAGGUAACUUUUACCUCUUACUGCAGCAUCUUUUAAGAUUAUCAUCUGAAAAGCAAGAAAUACUUUCAUGCAUCUUACACCCUAUAAACUCUUCCAACUCCAAUAUUUUAGUUAGUUUUAGUUCCUUGCCAAGAAGACCCCUACUAAUUUCAUGGAAUCUGCCAACCAAUCUUUCCUGAAUCAAGAUGAUGGUUUAGAAAGCAUCAGUCCUUCAGAUAAAGUUUCUCUGUUAUACUGGCCACUUGCUUUGAUUCUAAGCCUGCAACGCACACACUCAUCAAGACUCCACAAAACUUUCCUUACAAAUCUACUCAUCUCAACUUCCACAUACAUGUAAGCAUUAUGAAUAAAAACAUCCCUGGUCACUUCACAUUAAUAAUAUCAUUGUCCCUGUCAAUGUCUUUACCAUCACCUUCACAUAUAGCACUCCCCAGCUUUUUCAUAUUUUCACCAGACACUUCAAUCUUUCUUUCCAGGAAUCUUUUUCAAUCUUUGAAAACAUGCUACAAUAUGUCCCAUCUCUCAAGACAAGUAACAUUUUUGAUCAUACCAAUCUAGUGCAUUUAUUUCUAACAUCUCAAAGGCGAUGGCAACAGUUGCUAACAAUAACCUCCUUCAUCAACUUGAGUUUCUUUCCCUCUAGUUUUAGCAACAGCCUGCAUGAUUUGGUUAAACUAGCAUUUGACUUGCAUAUCAAAUGUCUGAAUAAGAACUUCCUUUCUAAACGUCCCACUUAUAAGUUUUAUUUAUCUUUCAUCUCUUGGAACGGAAAUUUCCUAUCAGAAUGCACUAUCUCAGCAUUGUGCUGAUGGGGCUCUCUCUUACCCACACUCUAUCAACUCUAGUAUGUGCCAAAGAUUGGUUGUGCCAUCCACAUUCUUCCUCCUGUAUAUUAACAAUCAUUCUGCUAUCAUCUCAAAUGAUACACACUCCCAUCCAUUUGAAACCACUCUUUACUCUUCUCAGGCCUUCCAUGCACAAAUGUUACUCACUUAGAAGAAGUACUGAAGAACAACCUCAAGAAACUGAACUUUUCAGGUGAGAUGACAAAGGACCGAGAUACCUGGCACCUGGCUAUACUCAAGAAGACCUGUACCCCACAGCAGAAGUGUUAAGACCAAUCCUUCUGGUAGUGUAAAAGCGCCCUUGUGGGGUCACAUGAAAGUGCCCACAUGGUACCACAUAAAAACAAAUGUGCAUCACCACAUAAAAGUGCCCAUGCAGUUCCACAUAAAAGCACUGGUUUGGUACCACUUAAAAUAACCAGUACACUUUACAAAGUGGUUGGCAUUAGGAAAGGCAUCCAACCAUAGAAACCAUACCAAAUCAGACUGGAGUCUGGUGCAGCUCCCCAGUUUGCCAGCUCUGGUCACACUGUCCAACCCCAACCCAUGCCAACUUAAACAAGGGAUGUUAAAUAAUGAUGAUGAUGACGAUGAUGCAACCUAGACAGAUGAUGGUGAUGCAACCUCAAAACUGUACUUCCUCUAUGAGUAGAAAUCAUUCUGUGAAGGGAAAAUGAAUCUUGUCUCUUUCAUAGCACAAAGACCCAACUACUACUCUUUUAAAAAAAACAAUCAUACAUUCCACCCUUCCUAGCCUUUAACAAGCAAUUAAAACCUUCAAACUCACAACAAAUACUAUGCUUUACUAUCUUUGAUCUUUGCUAACAACAUCAUACAACUAAAACUAUAUCCCAAAGAUUAUUCUUCCUCUUCAUAACAGGAAAAACAUUUCCAUUCAGAUUAGCUGUUGUCUUACUUGAAAGCUCAAGUAAGUGUCACGAUAAAAUACUGCUCCCAUAUCUAAGAGAGUAUUGCUACUACACACACACACAAUAUAUAUAUAUAUAUAUAUAUAUAUAUAUAUAUGUGUGUGUGUGUGUGUGCGUGUGUAUGUAUAUAGCUUUAUAAAGCUUGAAACAUGUGUACCGUUACAUCCUUUGUGUUCUGUUUUUGAUUUCAUUUGAUACAUAUACCCUCUCACCUCUGUUACUAGCUCGCAUAUACAGGUGCUUACACUUAUCAAGUAUUCACCUUAAAUUUAUGUAUGUAUAUAUAUAUAAUAUGUCUAUAUAUAUAUAUAUAUAUAUUGUUAGUUCAAGGAAGUUAUAUCCUCAUUAGGGAUUAUAUAAUCCAAGGUAUUCCACUGGUUAAUCCGUAUCAUAUAAUACGAAAGUUACUGAUAUAUGUUAGGGAUUAUUGAACUUAUAUAUCAUCGAUGUUGAAGGAAAAAGAAAAUGGAUAAAAAAUGGAUGUAUGAAUAAGUCAUUUGUAUGUUAUAAAAUGAUGAAAAUUUCUUUUAAAAAACAUAACAGUACAAAUAGAUUACAUGUUGUAGAGCUUGGAAAAUAGAAUAAAGGAACUUGCAUAUGUGUUUCAGUCCUAUCACUUAGUUGAUCAGAAGUUCUAAGCAUUUGGUUAAAUGCCAAGAAAGGUAUCAUAUUCUAACUAUAUGGGGAUAGGACUUCUUCAGGGUUAAUUAUGAGCUUAUGGGACUCACAAUUAACCCUGAAGAAGCCCUACCCCCAAUCACUAUUGAUUUUACACACACAUACACGCAUGCACGUACACACACACAUGCACGUACACACACACAUACACAUUAGUAGAUGUAUCCAAGAGAAACCAAUUUACCUGAUUGGUAAAUAUUCACACAUCAGUACACAAUAACCACUAGCCCAUGGACAUGAUGCAUCUUCACUCUGCCUCAUAUACAGUUACUGUAAUGACCCCCCAGCUCCUCAGAACUAGCUAGCUGCAUAACACACUUCAAUCCCCAGUAAAAUAGCCAUCCUUUCUCCUCUGUUCAUCCACAUUGUAUUUCAUCCACCUAGGUGCCACAUUAAGCAUUGUGUUCAGUCCUACAUAUUUAAGCCAUCACACUUUCUGAAAUUCUUUAGACCCCCCCACAAUUUUUUAACAAUUAUCAAUUUAAACUUGAACACAAACACUACCAAUGUUUCCAGUUUCCAAUGAUCUCCAAGAGUCAUGGGCCAUCUUUUUUCCUCCAAACUAAAACAUUUCAAAACCUACCCUCACAUCAUAUAUCUCAUCAAAUGAACGACAAUAAUACCAUUCCAGUAAUCACUUGCUAACUAUAACAACCACGUGACAAAAAAUUCCCCAAUUGUCUUUCAACCACUUGCCUACUGUCAUCACAACUCAUUCACACAUAAUCACCAAAACAAGAAAAUGUACACAAUACUUCAAGCUACAUACCUACACUGAAAUUGCAAGCAAACUUACUUAUCAGCAUUUUCCUAAAUCAGUCACCAAAGUUUACACUACACAAGGUCAUGGUUUAUGUGUAUCUCACAUUUUAUAUUUCUCUCAUCAACACACAAUAAGUUCUAACUUACAUGAAUCAGACAAUAUUGUGUAUUGAUGGAUGAAUAUUUAUCAAUAGGUCAGAUGAGUGACAUUUAGAAAACAGGAAUACAAAAAAAAAUACACAAUUACAAAGCAAAGCCACAUGUUUAUUACAAAUGGUUUGUAAUAAGCAUGUAGCUUAACUUAGCUUCAGUUAUAAGGCUCUUGAUUUUUUAAUUUUAUAUCCAGUUGGUUUCAUCUUUCCUUUUUAUUCAAUCCACUUAGAGCACUGAAACUGCAUUCCAUCAAAUAAGAAAAAUGGGAAGGGUUAACAGCAGUUCUCUAGUCAAACGAGUUGAAUUAUGAUAAUUAGUCUUGAUAUCAUCAGAGAACUACAUCAGAGUUACUUUUACUUUGAAUUAAGUUUUAACAGACACAUAGAUUUAUAUUUCAGAUAAUUCCUCUUGGUAUAGCAUUGGCUGAGUUUCAUAUCAGAAAAUCUGCAAAAUAAAUCAUAAGUCAGUAUUUUCAAAUGAUUCACAAUAGCAAGAAUCAUCAAAUACCUCAUGUUUAUUUAACCAAUACAGCUAGCUUUUUUUUUUUUUUUUCAGAAAUAUUCUUUUGAUGUAACUCCAGAAAUAUAAUGAAGAAUAAAUGAACAAGGAUUGUCCCGUGAAGUUCCAUGAAUUCAAUAAAUAUAUUCAGAUUUUCAAAAAUAUCUCUCAAGUCUAUCAACUGCUACUAGGAGUUUCAUUCAAGAUUUUCCUUUUACAAAUCACUAAGAAUAUUAAAUAGUUCCAUGAAUCUUUUCAGACAGUUGCCUUUUUUCAGCCAGGUUCCAUCUGUGAGAAACAAUAAUCUGACAUUGUUGGUGUUUUUAUCCUUUCAAAACUAUUUUAAAAGAUGCUUAUAUUCAGUAAUAGCUUUGACUAUGUUGAUACAUUUUAUUACUGAAUUAACAUUUCAUUUAGAAAUGAGGAAAACAUUUUAGCAACUAAAUUCUGAC
rnacentral:lncRNA from 1 species